rnacentral:rRNA from 1 species
AGUGAACGCUGGCGGUAGGCCUAACACAUGCAAGUCGAACGGCAGCACAGUAAGAGCUUGCUCUUACAGGUGGCGAGUGGCGGACGGGUGAGGAAUACAUCGGAAUCUACUUUUUCGUGGGGGAUAACGUAGGGAAACUUACGCUAAUACCGCAUACGACCUACGGGUGAAAGCAGGGGAGCUUCGGACCUUGCGCGAUUGAAUGAGCCGAUGUCGGAUUAGCUAGUUGGCGGGGUAAAGGCCCACCAAGGCGACGAUCCGUAGCUGGUCUGAGAGGAUGAUCGGCCACACUGGAACUGAGACACGGUCCAGACUCCUACGGGAGGCAGCAGUGGGGAAUAUUGGACAAUGGGCGCAAGCCUGAUCCAGCCAUACCGCGUGGGUGAAGAAGGCCUUCGGGUUGUAAAGCCCUUUUGUUGGGAAAGAAAAGCAGCAGGUUAAUACCCCGCUGUUCUGACGGUACCCAAAGAAUAAGCACCGGCUAACUUCGUG